GGCAGCGGAGACCCACUCUUCUGAAAUACCAGGAGCCUGUAUUCCAAGGCCGGGCCCUUGGAUAGUGGUUGGGAGGCACCUUUGGCAUAGAAGAUAUCGGGGUCUUGCUCUGCAGUACAGCUUCUCCAGGACUGGCGCUGGCGUCCAGCUCUGAUAGGUCCACUUAGAAACGGUUAACAAAGAGAUCAAAUUUGCUUAUGCCUCUCGGCCUGUUUGAUUUGACGGGCAAAUCUUGCCCGGAAGCAGGGCAGCGAGUUAUCUGUGCCAACAGCGGGGCCAUAAUUGCAUAAGUCGGCAGCUGGAGCCAGUCCCAAUUUAUUAGACGUAAGCAUGGAUUUUACAACCGUCCACAAGGGCUGUCUUAUUUAUCUUCCUCUUCCCUCCCCCCCACCCCCUUGGUUAAUCAACAGGAACCCACAACAAAUAGCGUGAUUGACAUCCGAGGUGGUUUUCUGCUUACUUUUCACCAAUGUUCUGCCCAAAGAGGGGGGAUAAAUAACCUUUUCAAUUGCAGUUACAUUUACACUGGGUCUCACCCAAUUAAUUAAUUACACACCCUACUAAUUACAGAGAGGAGUAAACUGAGGCGGGGAGAGGAUAAAGUGAAUGGUGCUGACUCUGAUUAGCAAGAGCCAGGCAUAAAACCCAAAAGUCCUGCUCCCCCCCACAGCCACAAGCCAGCGCUGCAUCCAUGGAUCUCCGUCGUACUCACCUGUUUAAACGUUCCUGCUGCCGUUGGCUCACUCCUGUAAAACCGACAGUUGGGUAGAGAACCUUUUACAGCUUCAAGAGCAAGUACUGCUGCUGUGAGAGGGGCUUCGAUUCGACCCCGGGGCGUAUUCCUUAGAACUUCACGGAGUAGAUUUUCACAAACUCGACUACGGAUCAGCGCGAGGUUACUCUCCGGGGGGGGGGGGCGUUUCCCUUGCUCCAUAAUCACCAAGCUGCUGGUCCUGGCGGGGAGCUCUUUCAAGGUGCGGGGCGGCUGAUACCUGACAAGGAGUUGAAGAUUUCAUGUUGGUCUGAGAAGAAAGUGCCAGCUGGAUCUCGCGGGCGUCUCUCGCUGGCGUUCCCAGUUUGCCUUCCUCAAUGUAAGGCGGUGCCUCUUCCCAGGCCGGUCUUGCACCUCUAACCCUGCUAGGAAUUUAAUUAGCGCUUGGCUCCCCUGUGUAAACGGCAGUGGUGUGGUUUGUGCGGGCGCUUUCCUCCCCCUGCAAGGCACAGAUGGUGUAUUUUUUUAUCAGUGUCAGCAGCGGCUUCUUUCUGCUCUGAUGAAUAGAUUCUAAAGAGGCAGUGACAUUAUUUGAGAUAACAGCGAGAACAGCAAAAGGGUCAGUGAUAGAGAGAAAAUGUCAGAGCGCAUAGAUGAAAGGCAGGGGGUGGGGAGAGCAGGACUCGGGUGGGGGGAGAAACCCUGCAGUCAUUGUCUGGCUGGUGCAUGCACCAGGACGGGGAGCCCUUGAGAGAACAAACUUCCCCUGAACCAGUUUGAAAUUCUAAAGGGGGGGCUGGGUGCCCCUCUCGCCCCAGCAGCCAAUUCCUUCUUUUCAAUUCGAUUCAAUUAGUCCUCUCACUUCGGAGCACGUCUCCGCUGAUGGCCAGUGCAGUGCUGUUUGUAUUGCACACGCUCUGCUUUGCAGCCGAGAGGCUGCAGGGAGGUGGCAGAAGAUUAUUUGUGUUUCUUCCCCUC